rnacentral:rRNA from 1 species
CCGGCUAAUCCCCCGACGGGAGGGGAUGGCUCCGCGGCCCAUCAGGUAUACGGCGGGGUGACGGCCCACCGUGCCGACAACGGGUAGCCGGGUUGAGAGACCGACCGGCCAGAUUGGGACUGAGACACGGCCCAGACUCCUCCUGGAGGCAGCAGUGGGGAAUCUUGCGCAAUGGGGGGAACCCUGACGCAGCGACGCCGCGUGCGGGACGGAGGCCUUCGGGUCGUAAACCGCUUUCAGCAGGGAAGAGUCAAGACUGUACCUGCAGAAGAAGCCCCGGCUAACUACGUGCCAGCAGCCGCGGUAAUACGUAGGGGGCGAGCGUUAUCCGGAUUCAUUGGGCGUAAAGCGCGCGUAGGCGGCCCGGCAGGCCGGGGGUCGAAGCGGGGGGCUCAACCCCCCGAAGCCCCCGGAACCUCCGCGGCUUGGGUCCGGUAGGGGAGGGUGGAACACCCGGUGUAGCGGUGGAAUGCGCAGAUAUCGGGUGGAACACCGGUGGCGAAGGCGGCCCUCUGGGCCGAGACCGACGCUGAGGCGCGAAAGCUGGGGGAGCGAACAGGAUUAGAUACCCUGGUAGUCCCAGCCGUAA